CAGGAAGUAGAUACGCUAGAUGAAGCAGCACGGAAAUUCUGGUGUCGGUUUCUCCUUAUUAGCCCUUUGAAAGCAUUCCUUUUUCACACCAAAGCAUGAUAAAGUUCUCAAUUGCAAACUUGGUGUACGAGACUCUUUGUGUGGAGGUGUUUAACUCGCUGGAUAGCAGGUUAAGUCAUUCUGUGAGGUCAGUACAGAUAGACUUUUAUUAUUUUUACAUCACAUAAAUCAGAAGAUUUGACAGAACAGAAGGUGAUCUAGUUCCUCUAUCAUUGGGUGCAUUUAUAUUUGGCAUUAACAUGUGAUCUCUGUGAUCAGAACCAGCAGAUCGGAUCUUCAGACAAUCAGGACACAUGUCAACAUCAAGUGUUCUACAUCUGGAUAUCUGAAUGAAUCUCUAUAGUUUCCAGCCCAUUAUUUUAAUAAGUCUGCAAUAGAGCAGCACGAUUAAUCGUUAAAAGAUCUCGAUUCGAACAGACGAUCUCAUUAAUGAAAGUCAACGAUUCUCGUGUGUCUAUAAAUUUACACUUCGGACUAAAAUCAUAACGCUUCAAUAUUUGUUGUUGCUGCCGCAGGAGUUAAAAUUAUUAUUAUAAGGUAACGACGUCACAAACAGUCUUUUUAAAACACACACAAACAUUAUUUCUGUGUCAAAUGAUCACACUAGUGACGUCACUGCGAUUAAAGCAGAGAGUCUCCAACUCACACGUAUAAAACGCGUUUACAAACUCCUAAUCUCACACCAACUAACAGACCAACAUAUAAAGUAAAUACAGUGACAACAAAACUGUUCUUAUGAGUGUCUGUCAGGAUUGUGAUACAUUGUUCUGAUUAUGCUUCACAUCUUAACUGGACAUGUUUGAAACGAAACUAACGAUUGUAGUUUGUAGCGCGGACAAAUCCGAGUGAGCGUUUAUAUCCGUCAUUAUGGUAAAAGACGUCAUCAGAGAGUGUGCCGCUUAUCACUGUAUUUAUGCUAAUAGAGGAGCUGCGCUAUCAGAGCUUUCGUCAAGUUGCCCAUCAUUUCAUGUUUUCAGGUUAUUUUAAACAGUUUACAGGUGAGAAUAAUGCGUUGUCAUGUUUAUCAGUAGUGUCUUUCUGUAAAGACACUACUAUCAGGCAAGAUAUCAGGCAAAUGUAUAAAAUAAAAAAAAGUGUCACCUUAUGAGUUUGUUUUACUGAGAAAUAUUUCAUAUACAAGUUACUUCAAUGCAUUUAUACGUUUUAGAAAGUUAAACUUUUGCAUUUAAAUAAAAAAAAUGAAAAAACACUUGAGUUUACUUACUUACUUUAAUAUUGAUGCACCUAAAUAAACAUUUUUUUUUGUCAGAACCUCUUUUUGUAAAUGAUGUUUUACUUUUAGUCAUCAUUCAGAAUCGUAAAAGAAUCGCAAUCUCUAUUUGAAACAAAAGAAUCGGGAUCCUCAAUUUAUCCAGAAUCGUCCAGCUCUAGUCUGCAAUUUAAAAAGAGCCCCGGUGAGGUGAUAUUUCACACAACACGUAUAACAGGAAGCAUGUUAUAGAUUUGAUACACUGGAAAGUAUCCGCCGCAGUCAUGUUGAAAUCAAGGCAGUGGUGGGAAGUAAACCACCAUUAAGACGAUUAAUGAUCUUAUAUGUGAAAGUAUAAGUAGAGAAAGUUUUUGUUCUUGAGCUGUGGUGGGUUUCAAUCACACACACAUGGACACACACACACGCACACACAGAGCGACUAACAGUGAUUUAAACUCAUAAUUUGUUUAUUCAUGUCACAAAGACAUAAAAUAAACACAUAAGUAGGCCGCAGUUACUAUGAUCAUGCACUUUCUGGUGUGAAAUGUUUAUUUAUUCAUGCAGUUAAUGAAUCAAUUGAGUUGACUUUCCAAGUGAUGAUUGAUCAUGAACAGCAGGUGUCAUCACUAAAGAUCAGAGUCCACUGAAGAAAUGAACAAGAACAGGAAAUAAAGACUGUAGCCACACAGAUUCAUGUCAUAUAAAUACAGAAUCACAUAUGCUACUAUAAUACAUAUUUACAUGUAACUAAAUGAAACUUUUGACUUCUUUAAGUAUCAUUAGUAGAGCUUAAGUUGUAUUUAGUGUUUCUGAUGUUCUUUUAUUGAACAAGUCAUUUAAAUUCUCCAUUAUGGUGAUCAGUGUUUUAUUUGGUUGGGUACUUGUACUAAAGUCCAACUUAACAGUUUUCCCUACUUGUGAAAAGAACUGUUCUAAACUUACAUCAUGUUAAAGCAAGCAGGUGCACAGUCUUGUCUUUCUAUUGAGUAGAAGCAUUGGUCUCAACUAAGGUUUAGUGUAAGAGUCAAAUGAAAAAAAAAAAAGUUAUUUGUUAUAAUGAAAUGCAGCUAGAGUGAUAAAAUGCAACUUUAAAGAUUUGUUCAGAGGAUCCUAAAACAUUUCUCACAAAUGCUAAGACUUCAACAGUCAUCCUACAAAACUCAACAGUGGUGGUGAAAAUAAUCAAAUGCACAUUGAUCCUUUUCUAUUACCCAGCAUGCACUGCAGCAUUAACAUUUUAUUGAUUGUAACCGUUAUUGAUAUUUGUAUGCCGAGUUUUGAUGUCAGUGUGGAACAUUUUUAAACAUCUUAUUUAUAAUUGUUGACAAAGGCAGUAUCUGUUUAUCUUACACACCACUGUUGACAAACAUCAGCAUCUCUAGCUUUACUAAAACAUUUCAUUACACUUUUAUCAUUUUCUGAUGACAUCAAGUAAAAUCUUCAAGCAACAAAUAAUUUAAACCACAGGCAGUGUAUCUGUUUAACUCAUUAUCAACAGCAAAAGAAACAGGUACCUCAAGUACCCCACUAAAGAGAAUCCUCAUCACACUAAUGAUGACGUCACAACUAAAACAUUUCAAACUGCAGCUAAACCUCUAACUCUACAUGAACAUCUUUUACACUCAAACUUCUUUUAAUAAGUGAUUAUAGAAACACUGUUUAAAGUUGUUUAAAGCAUCUUGAUAUUUUGUGAUAUUAAGAGACCACAUUAGUUGCACACAUAGAUCUGUUGUGUUUGCUUUACAUCAGCUGUGUAUCUAAACACUUCAUGAACAGCAGGUGUCAUCACUAAAGAUCAAUCAUCACUGUAAAGUCAACUCAAUUGAUUCAUUAACCUCAUGAAUAAAUUAACAUUUCACACCAGAAAGACUAUGUUUCAGUGAAAAGUUGUACACCCGUAGGUAAAGACUCAUAUUUACACCAGCGGGUGUACGUUUGACACCACGACUUUCCUGUGUUACUUGUGUUGGUUCGGCUGAAAGUGAUAACGCAUCGUUUCUUUGGUCUGCACCCUAAUGAGUGUUUACUGACAUCAGCUAUAAAGAACACUAUACAAUCUUGUUUCUGUAUGUAAAUGAUAUAUACGGUGUAUUCAGAGCUCCGUUUCAAGCUGCGCGGCUGUCGCUUCUGUCUUGUGGGGACGGUACGAGACACAACAACAGCCCUCAGGACAGCAGGAAAAUAAAGAGUAUUUACACCGUAGACUUUACAGUUAAUACACACACACAAGUAGACUAUGUUGGAAACACGCUGGUAUAGUGUUGCUAAUCGUGUCUGUGAAAUAAAAAUAAACAAAUGACACGUUUAAAAACAACACUGGCCUGUGCGUGCAAGUAAAACCCAUACAUGGCAGUCAAAAAUAGCCUCUGUGAAGUAUAAAGCUGAAGUGGUCAAGUAAAAGAUCUCGUGUGAUUUGACAUCAGACUUUUAAAUGUGAGAAUAACCUUUAAGGAAAGAAAAUAUAGUUCCUAAUAUAUGAAUGUAAAAUAUAUAAUAAUGGUAUAUUUGAAAAUAUAGAUAAUAAUAAAUUGUGUAAAUAUAUUAAGAUAUAUUAAAUAAUACAUAAGGAAUUGCCACUUUUCAUAUAUUGAAAAAUAUAUUGACCAUAAUAUAUUUAGUUAUAUGUUCCAAUAUAUGUAAUUUUAUAACCAGUAAAAUACUUUAUAAUAUAAUGAUGUACACGUGAUAAGAUAUGGGACUGAAUGUGUAUUAUAAAAUGCCAUAAAAUGUAUUAUGUUAAGAAUUACAACAUACAUGUUUCAUAUUUUAAACCAUAGCCACUUCACAAUAGCCUAAGCACUCCUGUUCAAACUGAAGCACUUAUUGAAAAGACAAUUGCUUUACUGAAUAGUGCACAAUAAAGUAAUAUUUGAUCUUCAA